rnacentral:rRNA from 1 species
UACAGAGGGUGCGAGCGUUGUCCGGAAUCACUGGGCGUAAAGGGCGCGUAGGUGGCCCGACAAGUCUGUGGUGAAAGCUCGACGCUCAACGUCGAGUCGGCCAUAGAUACUGUUGGGCUGGAGCACUGUAGAGGCUCAUGGAAUUCCGGGUGUAGCGGUGGAAUGCGUAGAUAUCGAGAGGAACACCGGUGGCGAAGGCGGCCAACUGGACGAAUACUGACGCUGGAGAACUCGAAAGCGUGGGGAGCAAACAGG